rnacentral:lncRNA from 1 species
ACGACCAAAUAAGACCCCUAACAUCACCCUUAAGCUCUCUACAAGGAUUUUCAACGAUACUAUCAUCCGGGGCACGAAAUCAAGUAGCGAUAACAUCAAAAUGAUCCAUGCAACGUAAGUAUCGCUAUAUCACUUUUUUUUCUUUAUAGUUCGAGUUUAGAAGGUAUUUUGAAGUUAAUAAAAAUGCCUAAUUUCUGGUUUUAAGAUCUUAAAUAUCAAGGAAGGUUGAUUAAUUGAUUUCAUAAUAGUUAGAACUCACGAGACGGUGAUCGGAAGCCGUGAGUUCGAGUUAUUUGACUUGUAAUGGAUUGUUUUGGGGUUGUUUUGUGUAGAUUUUGGGAUGUCUAUUGUGUUGCUGUUAAAUGGAGUUUUUGGAGGAUAAAUGGUGUGGAGAAACACCACAUAAUGGCAAAAUCAUGGAUUAGUCAUUAUGUUUGUCACUACUAUAGUCGUCGUUUUGGAUAUGAAUUGAUUGGAGUGUAUUGGGCUGUUGUAAGCUAAAUAUAAUAUGGAUUUCGACUUGCAUCUACUGUAUGAGGUAAUUCUAUUGUGUUCCUACAGGUUCUUAAGGUUAUCUUGGCAUUGGUUAAGUUAAAUGGAUGAACUAGACAUGAACUAGUGAAUAAAGUUGCUAAUUAAGAAUAAUUGGAGUUGUGGAUCAUUUUCUUUAUUAUGGAUAUAUGGUAUAAGGCUGGAAUUAUUGAUGAAUGACUUCAUUAUCAUGUUAAUGAUACUAUUAAGUUAAAGUAAAAAGUCUAUAAGGGAUGAUAUGGGGUAUACGAAUUCCAAUUGGAGCUUGUCGCUCGUCAUGAAAUAGUUAUGACUUGUUGUUGUUUUAUGGUGUCUUGUUAUUGAUAAUUAUGUAUUGCUGGAUUUCUCUGGUAAUUGUUGUUGGUAUAUGAUAUUGGAGGAGGAUCUUGUUACAGGGGAGAUGCUUCCCGAAUUUAUAUAAACGAGCUACAAGUUUAAGUUGCAUACUUGGCCUUUAUUCAACACUGAUUUUGAAUCUCCUUAUGCAAUGGUAGAUUGAGUUGAGUUGUUUGAAGAGUAGCUUAGGAGGUAUUAAGGAUUCACCAUGGUUAAGGUAUGUUAAGGCACUUCCCUCUUUCUUUUGGUAUGAUUUAAAGUGAAAUGAAUACGUUAUUUCAUAACGGAUCUACUCCUAGAAACUAAGGUUGCCCAU